UGGUAAAAAAAGGGCUUAACCUUUAUAACAAGGCUAC
rnacentral:tRNA from 1 species